GUCGAGAGGCUUUGGCAAUGGGGGCAACCCUGACCAAGCGACGCCGCGUGGGUGAUGAAGGCCUUCGGGUUGUAAAGCCCUGUUAAGAGGGAAGAAUCGCUUCGAGGUUAACAGCCUCGAGGUUUGACGGUACCUCUAGAGGAAGCUCCGGCAAACUCCGUGCCAGCAGCCGCGGUAAUACGGAGGGAGCUAGCGUUGUUCGGAUUUACUGGGCGUAAAGGGCGUGUAGGCGGCCUUGUAAGUCAGGCGUGAAAACCUCUGGCUCAACCAGAGAUCUGCGUUUGAUACUGCGAGGCUUGAGUGCAGGAGAGGAAAGCGGAAUUCCUGGUGUAGCGGUGAAAUGCGUAGAUAUCAGGAAGAACACCAGUGGCGAAGGCGGCUUUCUGGUCUGUCACUGACGCUAAGGCGCGAAAGCCAGGGGAGCGAACGGGAUUAGAAACCCUAGUAGUCC
rnacentral:rRNA from 1 species